CAGCCGCCGCGGGAAUACGUAGGGCGCAAGCGUUAUCCGGAAUUAUUGGGCGUAAAGAGCUCGUAGGCGGUUUGUCGCGUCUGCCGUGAAAGUCCGGGGCUCAACCCCGGAUCUGCGGUGGGUACGGGCAGACUAGAGUGAUGUAAGGGAGACUGGAAUUCCUGGUGUAGCGGUGAAAUGCGCAGAUAUCAGGAGGAACACCGAUGGCGAAGGCAGGUCUCUGGGCAUUAACUGACGCUGAGGAGCGAAAGCAUGGGGAGCGAACAGGAUUAGAUACCCGUGUAGUCCCUGUCUCUUAUAC
rnacentral:rRNA from 1 species